AUCUCCUUACGCUCAUCCUCGUUUUUGCUAUGGCACUAACAACAACAUGAAACUAAUAAUAAAUUAUUGUUAUUAUCCGGAGUUUUCAUACUUAGUUUCUAUCUGGGUUUUACUAAAUUUACCUGUUGGUUCUUAUUUAAACUCUUUUUUUUUCUUUUUCUUUUUUUCUUUUUUUUGUGUAUGUGUGUGGUUUCUCCUAGUCCAUUUUGAUGUGUUAUAUUUCAAAUAUAUUUGAUUCAUAUGUUGAAUUAUUUAUAUUUAUAUAAUAAAUUAUUUUUUACUUGAUAUAUUUUUAUUAUUAAAAAUAACAGCUUAAACACAGGCAUACAAUAUAUAUAUAUAUAUAUAUAGUCAAAGAAUUGGUGGCUGCCAUUGAAAUAUUCUAAUUGGCUAAAUUCAAAAUGAUUUAUGAUUGAGUAAAAUUAUUAAACUUUUAUUUUUUAUGAUUUUUUGCAAUACUGUUAACCAAUACACAUUUUUUCUAUUUUUAAUUUUUUUUAAAAAAAUGUUUAGAAAAAAUUAUGGCAGGGUAUUUUUGAAUAGUUGAAAAGAAUCAUUAAAAAGGAUAAUUUUUAAAAUUCAGGUGAUCACACAUCAAAUGAAAUUCUUAUGAGACCUAAAAACCAUUUAGCUUGCUGAACUGGUCUCCUUCUCUGGUGUGUGCGUAUAUUGUAAUAUAUAUAUAUAUAUAUAUAUAUAUGCUAAAAAAUAAUAUUUGAUGCGGUGAUUAAAUGCUACAAAAUGAAUUUCAAUCAUUUUCAAAUUACAAAACUUUUGUGGGAAUUGACAAGGAAAUAUUUAGGCAACAGUUCAAUUUGAUGUUAACAACUUUAUACUCUUUCUAUAUUUAGAUAAUAUCUACAUUAAAAAACAUCAAGAAAAAAAUUGUAUUAUACUUAUUAGACAAUCCAUCAAAGUUGAGUUCAUUCUGUAAUGGAUUUGAAAGUAUCCAGUUUUUAGUCCAAAUGUUUUUGUUAACAAAUAUUUAGAUUAAUUGAACCAACAUGGAUUAGUUUUCAAAAUGUUGAAAAAAAAAAACAAAAAAACAAAAAAAAAAAUCAUUAUAUUGAACUUUUGGAAAAAAAUGUUAAUGGAACUUGUGUAUCUUCAUUAAAUUUACACAAAAGGAAAAAAAUGAAAUUGCAUUCAAAAUAAAGUGGUAUUUCUGAUGAAAUUGAGUGCAUAACAAGGGUUAUAGUUUGAUUGUAUAUAUACAUUGAAAUAUUCAAAUGCAAUUUCUUGUGUGUAUAUAUUCAAGGAUUUAAUUUUGACACCAUUCAUAAUGCAUGAUUUAAAUUAUGGUCUGUAAAUGUAAUUGUAUUUCAUGUCGCCUCAUUUGAAUUGUAGAAUGUUUGAUUUGAUGAUUUAACUUGCUAAACAGUUUGAAAAAAAAAUUAAAUAGAAAAAUCAAUCGUGAUCAUCAUUAUUGUAAUAAUACAUAUAAACUUUAGAAUUUUCGGUUAGAAUUGAAUCAUUUAUUAGAAUAAUUUGGUAAUUUUUUAUGAAUAAAAAUUAUGAUUUUUACACCCAAAAUGUUGAUGCAUUUUAACUUUGGCUUUUUGACUAAAAUAUUUCAUACACAAGAUCAUUCAAGUAUUACCAAAACAAACAAAAAAAGAUUGAGAAGAAUUUAUCAACAUGGAGGAAAAAAGAUCUUCAAGAAAGGUUUCCAUAGUAUCAAUUCCAAUUCCUAAAGUUGAGAGUUCAAUGAAAGAUAAUAAAUCACCAUACACGGCUGCUAUGGAGCUUGAAAAAGCCCGAGAAGAGGAAAAACAAAUAUACAAGUUGUUUUUAGAACAUGCAAAUGUAUUGGAGCUUCUCAAUACAUAUGAGCAUUUAAAGAAUUCAAAGCCUUCACCCACUAUUAUGAGUGCAUGGAUGUGGCAUUCAUGGAGGAAAGAACCAAACAAUUUAGAAAGCUUGGAGAAGAAUGGUGAAGUAGAAAGAGUAAGAAAUAGCAGAAGAGGAGCACUUGAGAAGGUUAUGGUUGAAGAAGAACAACAAGAAACAAAUUCCAACAAAUUUGUUGAAGGAGAAGGAAAGGCUUUUUUAGGGAUGAAUAUUUAUUAUUUUGGUAGUUUCAAGCAUGGUUUUUUGCAUGGCCAUGGUUUAUUGAAGUGGAAGUCCAAUUUUGGAGAAGAUCAUUCAUACUUAGGGACUUUCUUUUAUAAUUGCUUGCAUGAAAGUGGAAAAUAUGAUUGGGAUGGAAAUGGCACUUACAUUGGCGCGAUCUUUGAUGGAUUCCCAAACAAAUCAGGUAACAUGCGAAAGGGUACUUGUGGAGAUGCAUAUCGUGGAAAUUUUGCUCAUGGUUUACGAGAGGGAUUGGGUGAAAUGACAUAUAACGAUGGGAUAAAUAGUUUGAAUUAUAUGGGUGAAUGGAUGCAAGAUCAAAAACAUGGUCAUGGAAGAUUUCUAUACUUACAUUCAACUUAUGAAGGGGAAUGGAGGCAUGGAAAGCAUGAUGGGAUUGGCAUCCAAACUCAAAUUGUAGACAAAACAAAAAGCAAUUGUUUACAGAUGCCUGUAUAUUCUGCUACUGUUUAUGAAGGAAGCUGGAUCAGAGGCUUUCCACAUGGAAGUGGGAAACAGUUAUGGAUUUGGGACCAAAACAAGGAGAUCCUUGGUGUUUUGCAUAAUGCCUAUAUUGGAGGCUUUGAAAAUGGAAUGAGGUCCAAUAGAGGCACUUUUUACUAUGCUAAUGGUGCAAUAUAUCAAGGAUAUUGGAAAAAUAAUUUAAAAAAUGGACACGGUUUGUAUACAUAUGAGGAUGGAAGAUUGAACAAAGUCAUUUGUAAUUUAGAUCACUUUGACAUAAACAACAACAAAGAUACAAUGAUUCUAAUCAGACAUGCUUUGGACAAUGUCACAAACAACACUGAUGACAUGGACAGGCUGAAAUUAAAAUUGUUGUAUAUAACCCUAAGAUUUGCUAAUGCCUUUCGAACUACAUUCCACAACUACAGUGCUCUAAGCAUGCAAGCAAGUGAAAACAUCCCACAAGAAAAGCAAGAGCAGGUUGAUUCCACACCAACAUUUACAAAAGUGAACCAGAAUUCUUCUAGGAAAUCAAGCCUUUCAAAACGUGAUGGAGAAAAGCUUUUGUCUCCUCAACUCCUCUUGCCGGAAAAUAAGAACUUAGAACAACAAUAUUCAAAUGAAGGCGGCAUACCAUGUGAAAUUGACCAAUCUUUGCUUCUUUUAAAUGCCAUCUUCAAAAACCAUGGUUUGCCCAAUUCCACAAUUACCAAAGGCUCAGAAAACAACUUUUCUAAAGAGUAUUUGGAGCAUAUAGCAAAGUAUGUGCAAAAUGAAGGAAGUGAUGUCACUUCUAUUAGUAGUGGAUUUGGUGAUGUCAAUGACAAUUUGUGUAAUAUUUAUAAGAACAUGCGCUUGGAAGGCCAAUCGUAUGCUAUGACAGUGGAAAGUUUUUGGCAUCUGUGUUAUAGUGCUCAUAUUAUGGAACCUGGACUUGGAUUAGCUCAAAUAGAUGUGAUAAUCUAUCCUCCAUCAAAUGCAUGGGAUGAUGCUUUUGACCUGUAUUGCCCGAAAAGAAAACUGAUUCACCAAGAAGUAGUUGAAAAUCUAAUAAAAAUUGGUUUAACCAAAUGUUUUGGGUGUGGAAUUCAACUUGAGAAGAAGUUGCAUGAGUUUUUUGAGAGUUGCUUCAAUAAAAUUGGGAACAACAAUGAAGAUUCAUUAUAUAAGUUUUCUGUGGACCAACCUACUCAAGCUGUUCUUCUUCAAUACAAGCAACAUUUCAAAGUUUUAUUUGGAAAGUUUAUUUUGAAAAGUAAAACAAAUGGGUUUUUUAUUAAAAUUAAGCACAUAUUUAAUUUUUUCUUGAAUGUUGUGUAUAAUUUUGAAGAUCAAAAACAUUUAGAUGGCAGUGCUCCAAAGGAAAGUAAUCCUAUUCCACAAAAGCGGCCACCAUCUAAAACCGUUGAACAAAAAGUUCAUCAAGAUGAGAAUGUUGCAGAUAAUAAAACAACUGGAUCAUAUCAAAUUUUAUUGAAAACAAUUUCAGAAACAUUGUAUCAAAUUAAAUAUCAAGAUGGGGAUCCAACUUUGUAUUUAGAACUUGAAAUCAAUUUCAAGGAGUUUGAAUUGAUAUUGCUGCAACUUGCAAAUUUGAAACUCGGUCCUUAUAAGUACUAUGCAAAUGAAAGUCCUGUGAAAACAAAUGCUGAAUUAAUACAAAGUUUUAUGAAUGAAAUAUCACAAUUGUCUCUCAAAGCUAAAGUUUCAUUUGAAGACAAAGAACUCUCAUCCAAAAAAUAAGAAAUUUGAUUGAAUAAUAAGUAGGAAUGCCAUAAAAUAUUGCUAGCGAGAAAACAUAGAUGAAACAUGAAUCAUGUUACAGUUCUUUAAAUCCAGUACUUAUAGAUAUAAAGGAUAACCAUCUAAAAUUUAAUAUAAUUACGUCAAAAAAACAUAUUAAAUUCGGCAAUGCUAUGAGGAUGGAAUUGCAUUAAGUUUAUUAUAUUAUAUAAUCUGAUUUUUAUUGAAGUUUUUUAGAAACUUUUAUGCCACAUUGUAAGAUUUUCAAAUCAAAAACCAUUUCAACAAAUAAGGACACUGUUUUGAAAUUUUAUCAGAAAAGUACAACAUUCACUAUUGUAUCUUUUUCAAAGGUUGUGAUGUGUUCUAAGCACAGCAAGGACUAAAAAGUACAUUUGAACUUUAAAGUAGCCAUCAUACAUGAUUACGCAUUUUGAAUCAAUUUAUUGGAAUUAUUAUUUUUCCUUAUUUAUAUAUGAUUGUGUAUUGUAUCACUGGUUCCACUACAGUCAUUUAACAGCUGUGAACAAAUUAUGAUUGUGGAAAUAAAUCAAAAAACAAGAUCACAAGACUAGACUCAUCUAUAUUCACACUGAAGAGCUUGGCUAUGGUCGUAAAGAGGAUACAAUUUUGGGGUGGAGGGAAUUAUAAAAACAACAAAUGGGUCAUAUUCUACACUUCCAAAAACUAGCAUCUUGGCUUAUCAUCAUCAUUAUCAUCAAAAUAAUAAAUAGUAGUAAUAUAUAUCACAAGGAAGAAGGGAUACCACAAAGAACUCUAAAUGAGACAACCCUACCCCCAUCCAUGAGAAGGAAUAGGACGUAGGGAACCAAAUGGGGACACAAUAUUGCACCCUUGUGGUGCAAUAUUGUUGUUGCGGCCGUGAUGGUGGAGGUGAUUGUUUUCAUUACCCCCUCCACAUCAACCCCCAUCCACUAUUGUGGUCUUUUUGAUGUGAAUGUGUUUGAGAAUUGAUUGGAAUCCUUCACCAGCCAUUUUUUUGAUUUGGGUGGCUCACUCAAUGAAAAAGAAACCACUUGAUGAAGGAGGAAGAAAAAAAAAAGAAAAAAGAAAAACCAUAAUGGUUUCAUAUUUGGUGAAACACUGAAACAUUAUGUUAGAAGAAAAAUAUUUUCGUUCAUUUUCAAAUACAAUUUAAAUAGCUAUUGUGUGUUUCUCAAAGUUAUAAACCCCCUACAUUAUAUAUGUUUUAUCAUGGUCAAGUAGAUGUAAGGUAAAAAAAUUGAACUGAAUUAAAGUUGAAGUGAUAUUCUUUAAGUAUGGAUUCAAGUUACAUUCAUUUUUCAAAUUCAAACAUCCAUUAUAUAAAAAUUCACAUGUAACAAUAAAAGCACAAGUAUAGUUUUUGUUUACUAGUUUGUUGUAAUUUAAAAUCAUGAACAUUGAAACCGAAUGUAGUUUAUAACUUCGUCUUUUUGUAAAAUUUCAGAUAGAAUUUGAAAUUUGAAACCUAAUCUCUGAAGAU